UACGGGGGGGGGUCAAGCGUUGUUCGGAAUUACUGGGCGUAAAGGGCUCGUAGGCGGCCAACUAAGUCAGACGUGAAAUCCCUCGACGUCUAACUGGGGAACUGCGUCUGAUACUGGAUGGCUUGGAGUUCGGGAGAGGAUGCGGAAUUCCAGGUGUAGCGGUGAAAUGCGCGAUAUCAGGAGGAACACCGGUGGCGAAGGCGGCCACUGCGGCAAAUGACGCUGAGGAGCGAAAGCGUGGGUAGCGAAACAGG
rnacentral:rRNA from 1 species